rnacentral:lncRNA from 1 species
CUUCCCAUAUUAUAUGAAGAAACUACGGGAUCAAACAACUUAACUUCAUCUGCUGCAACAAAAAUUCCACUAGAACUUCUUCGUUUAAUACACCAUCGUCAAAAUUAAUCCUAAAAAGAACAGAAGGCGAUGAAAAGAUCUUCUGAGAAUUCGACAGUGCGGCGUCACUCUUUGAUAUACGAUUGCUCCGACCAAUGUUCGAUUAUUUUAUAGGUCGAGGUACUACGAGUUCGGUGAAAAGAUAGAUCUCUCAUCGA